GACAGAGGAUGCAAGCGUUAUCCGGAAUGAUUGGGCGUAAAGCGCGCGUAGGUGGCCCUGUAAGUCCGUUGUGAAAGUCAAAGGCUCAACCUUUGAAAGCCGAUGGAUACUGCAGGACUAGAGUACGGAAGAGGCGAGUGGAAUUCCUGGUGUAGCGGUGGAAUGCGCAGAUAUCAGGAGGAACACCAAUAGCGAAGGCAGCUCGCUGGGACGUUACUGACACUGAGGCGCGAAAGCGUGGGGAGCGAACAGG
rnacentral:rRNA from 1 species